GCCCUGGUGUGGCAAUGGUUAAGCGCUUGGCUGCUAACCAAAUGGUUGGUGGUUCUAGCCCACCCAGUGGCU
rnacentral:tRNA from 1 species